UCCAUGAACUUGUGGCAAUAAUGGCAACUGAUAGUGUAGAUUUAGUCGCUGUUACUGAGACAUGGUACAAUGAGAAAAAUGACUGGGAAAUAGCAAUACCAGGGUACUCUUUAUAUAGAAAAGAUAGGGAAGGCAAGAAAGGGGGAGGAGUGGCCUUGUAUGUGAAGGAUAGCAUAAAAUCUAGCCUAAUAAAAGUUAGUGAGGCAAACAGACUCCGUUUGGGCUACGUUAGAAUUUGGUAAUCACACAGUAACUCGUGUAGGUGUGAUUUAUAGGCCCACAGGACAAAUUGAAGAAUUAGAUAAUCUACUAGUUGAGGAAAUAGCUAAAAUGACAAUGAAGGGGGAAGUUAUCAUCAUGGGUGACUUUAAUCUUCCUGAUGUAAAUUGGAA